AAUUUCAUAAUUAUGAAACUACCAUGCUAGAACUAGUAACAAGAAAAUGAAUUUCUCCAAAGUGUAAACAUAAACCAAAACGGACAACCCAUUGGUAAUUAACGACUCUGAACCCAUUAUAGCAAAACAUCUAGAAAACCCUAUACUUAAUACCGUUAACCUUACACAAGAACUCUUCUGGAAAGAUUAAAAGGAAGAGAAGGAACUCGGCAAAUUUUAACCCCGCCUGUUUACCAAAAACAUCGCCUCUUGCUUAGUUAUAAGAGGUCCCGCCUGCCCAGUGUUUCAAUCAACGGCCGCGUGAUCUAAACGCGCGAAGGUAGCAUAAUAAUUUGUUCUUUAAAUGAGGACUUGUAUCAAUGGCAUCACGAGGGUUAUACUGUCUCCUCUCCCCAAUCAGUGAAACUAAUCUCCCUGUGAAAAAGCAGGAAUAAGAACAUAAGACGAGAAGACCCCAUGGAGCUUAAAACAAGGCAGCAAUUCAAUAACAAAAUCAGAACAAUCUUAAGCCCUGUAUGCCAGUUUUAGGUUGGGGUGACCACGGAGCAAAGCAAAGCCUCCACAACGAGAAGGGAUUAUUCCCUUACCCAAGAGACACGCCUCUAAGAAUUAUUAAAAUAACGCCUAAUGAUCCGAUUAUCGACCAAUGGACCAAGUUACCCUGGGGAUAACAGCGCAAUCCACUCUGAGAGCUCCUAUCGACGAGUGGGCUUACGACCUCGAUGUUGGAUCAGGAUAUCCCAGUGGUGCAGCCGCUAC
rnacentral:rRNA from 1 species